UGAGUGGAAACAGUUCCACAGAGCCUGAGGCUGUUGGUCCUGUUCCGAUCAACUUCAACAAGGCAAAAUGACGGACGCCUGUUGGAAAGACCAACAAUGAAAUUUAUGACCGAGCCUAUGAACAACAGUGAAACUGACUAACACAGGUUCGCAGCCCUGGACACACAUGCAGGCGAAGACCGAGCCUAUGAACAACAGUGAGACUGACUAACACAGGAUGCAGCACUGGACAGCCAUGCAGGGGAUUCUCCUAGGAAUCUUUUAUACAGCGCUGGAGCUGAAAUGGACAAUCAAAAUCAUCCUUUGUUGCUCCAUUGAAUAAUACAAUUGCAAUGGAAUCUGA